GAAGCUUGCAGUAUUGUUUCAUUACCCACCGGCACUUUUGAGCCGUGAACUUUCCCCCACUUCGGAAACUUCUCUGGAAAAUUCAUUUCAUGCUUGUCUACUCCAGUAAAAGCCGUGACUGAACUGUUACAAAACAAGAGACUUGGCCGAGGGGAUGUGAGAAAUCAACCCGAUCACACAAGCCAGCUGGCAUCCUUGACAGCCCUAGGCCUCUGACCUUUCGUUUACCUGUCAUCUCGGACCGCGGCCUUCUCCCAGCAGGCAGGCGGGCACCCUGCGGCUCCUGUGCCAGGCACACGUAUGUGCCAGGAUUUUUCCAGCUCUGUCAGACCCAAGUACCCACUACGCACAGACAAGACUAAAUAAAUUGAAAUGAAGUGUUCGUUGCACCACUACUUGGGGCCUGAAG